GCCAUGCUUCCACUAAAGACUUGGAUAAUUCUUAUAUGACUACAUUAAAGGUCUUAGUAUGACUAAAACUUGAAAUAUGGUGUAUGACACCAUGUAAUUUAAAUGAAUAGACUUAAUGGAACAAGUCACACAUUUCAAAUGGAAUUACUUGAGAAGGAAUUCUUUUGUGUGAUUCAUUUAAGUUAGUGGGAGCAAUAUGCAUUCAAAUCAAGAAAAUAUAAUUGUUAUUUUUGAAUGAAUUCUAAGUUACAACAAGGCCAGUGGUAGUGAUGUCAUAAUUUGAGCAACAAGAUGUGAAUAAAGUCUAUUCGAUAGACUUGAUAAAACAUAGAGGUUACUCGAAAAAUGACAAAACAUGACACGGUCAAUUUUGAAGUAU
rnacentral:lncRNA from 1 species